UUCUCAGAAAACAGAGGAAAUGACAGAGAAAACUGCUCUUCAGGACUGACGGAGGAAACUGUAGGUGAUGUAGGAGUGACAAGAGCUUUAAAAGAAGUGAUGGUGCUUGCCAGCUUGGACUUUGUAACAGCAAAGGAAGGAAACACUCCACAUGGGAGGACCCUAGUCCGUAACAGAGUAAACAUCACAGUGUUCAGAGAUCGGAUGGAGGUAAUUCCAAGCUAGAAACUCUAACAGGGAGCAUAACCUAAGACAAAUGGAAGGUCAGAACUGCUGGUUAUGUUCCACCUGUGAAUGAAGAGUCCAAAGAAUGAGAGCUUCAGCCUGGGAGAAGAACAUGGAUGUCCGAUAUGGGGGCCAGGCAGUAUACGUUAGGUCUUGGUGCUGUCUAAAAUAGGCUAUUUUAUGGCCAACAGAGUAGUCUACAGGGACCUUAAAUAGGGACGUGCUAGCUUGGACUGAGGGUGCCAGAUGCUCUAUAGAAACCGGGGAGUCAGGGCUGGCCCCAUCAGUGGAUGUGCUGAGGAGUGCCCGUAUUUCUCUUGACUUCUCCCUCAGGAAACAUCCUGACCAGGCUCAUCUGUGAAUGGCUGCAGGAAACAAGAAAUUAACACAUCCCCUCUGGAGUCUGCCCAGUACCAGGAAAUAUCUGCAACAACAUUGCUUUUUUGCUUUACCUCCACACCUUUCUCUCUGUUCUAUAAAAGAAACUAGCAUCCAAACUUGGGCAAG